rnacentral:rRNA from 1 species
AGGUGCUUGCACCUUAUCUUAGCGGCGGACGGGUGAGUAAUGCUUAGGAAUCUGCCUAUUAGUGGGGGACAACAUUCCGAAAGGAAUGCUAAUACCGCAUACGUCCUACGGGAGAAAGCAGGGGAUCUUCGGACCUUGCGCUAAUAGAUGAGCCUAAGUCGGAUUAGCUAGUUGGUGGGGUAAAGGCCUACCAAGGCGACGAUCUGUAGCGGGUCUGAGAGGAUGAUCCGCCACACUGGGACUGAGACACGGCCCAGACUCCUACGGGAGGCAGCAGUGGGGAAUAUUGGACAAUGGGGGAAACCCUGAUCCAGCCAUGCCGCGUGUGUGAAGAAGGCCUUAUGGUUGUAAAGCACUUUAAGCGAGGAGGAGGCUACUGAGACUAAUACUCUUGGAUAGUGGACGUUACUCGCAGAAUAAGCACCGGCUAACUCUGUGCCAGCAGCCGCGGUAAUACAGAGGGUGCGAGCGUUAAUCGGAUUUACUGGGCGUAAAGCGUGCGUAGGCGGCUUUUUAAGUCGGAUGUGAAAUCCCCGAGCUUAACUUGGGAAUUGCAUUCGAUACUGGGAAGCUAGAGUAUGGGAGAGGAUGGUAGAAUUCCAGGUGUAGCGGUGAAAUGCGUAGAGAUCUGGAGGAAUACCGAUGGC